rnacentral:rRNA from 1 species
UACCCACUCCCAGCACGGGGAGGUAGUGACGAAAAAUAACAAUACAAGACUCACAUCCGAGGCCUUGUAAUUGGAAUGAGUACACUUUAAAUCCUUUAACAAGGAUCAAUUGGAGGGCAAGUCUGGUGCCAGCAGCCGCGGUAAUUCCAGCUCCAAUAGCGUAUAUUAAAGUUGUUGCGGUUAAAACGUUCGUAGUUGAACUUGUGUUUCGCACGGGCAGUACCUAGGACUAGGCAACUAGGACGGUACCUUGUCUUACUUUUCAAUUCUUUCAGGGUUGAAAAAUGUGCGUGAACGUAUUAUCGGCGUGUUCGUUCUUGUAACGUUCACAUAAGCUCAUUUCAGUGCUCUUAAACGAGUGUUGUUGUGGGCCGAUACAAAUUACUUUGAACAAAUUAGAGUGCUUAAAGCAGGCUUGUAAUGCCUGAAUAUUUUGUGCAUGGAAUAAUGAAAUAGGACAUCUGUUCUACUUUCAUUGGUUUUUUAGACCAAGAUGUAAUGAUUAAUGGAAGCAGUUGGGGGCAUUAGUAUUACAACGCGAGAGGUGAAAUUCUUAGACCGUUGUAAGACUGACUAAAGCGAAAGCAUUUGCCAAAGAUGUUUUCAUUUAAUCAAGAACGAAAGUUAGAGGUUCGAAGGCGAUCAGAUACCGCCCUAGUUCUAACCAUAAACGAUGCCAGCUAGCAAUUGAGUGUAGCUACUACUAUGGCUCUUUCAGUCGCUUCUCGGGAAACCAAAGCUUUUGGGCUCCGGGGGAAGUAUGGUUGCAAAGCUGAAACUUAAAGGAAUUGACGGAAGGGCACCACCAGGAGUGGAGCCUGCGGCUUAAUUUGACUCAACACGGGAAAACUUACCAGGUCCGAACAUAAAUGAGUAAGACAG